ensembl:lncRNA
GAAAUAUAUAUAUCUUAAAAAAAUAAGUUUUGAAAACCUCUUUGCUAACUGGUUAAAAUUAACACAAAAAUACUGAGGCAGACAUGGUGCUGGAGGCAUUUAAGUCUUCUGCAGUUAUAAAUACUUAUCUGUGUGGAAGAGACUUGCCUCCAGAAUUGUGUUUGUCAGCCUUCUUGAGAUGAAGAGGCUUUAGCUACAGAAGGACCUCAGGAAGGGGCUGUAGAUGGUGAAAUAGUAUUCUUUUCCCUUUUUGUAUUUAUUGGAGGUUUCAGGUCCACCGCUCUGCAAAUGAAGAGCUCGUGCUUCAUGCCUUCCAAACAGACUAUAAACAGCAGUAGCCCAUUGAGCUAACUGUUUGCUUGUUCGAGUGUUUGGAAACAAUAAAAUGAAGAGAGAAAUAGAAAGAGGCAGGCUGCCUUCUUAACAAACUCCCAGAAGUAAGAGUCAUUUUCUGUGCACUGAAAAAGCCUGCAGCCCAACUCUCUCUUGUCUGAAUGUGACAUAUUAGUCUCAGAGUUCCUUAGGAAAAAAGGAAAAUUACUAGCCAGUGGGGCCAUUUAUUUUUGUUUCUGUGUGUUUAAGUAAAAACAACAACAAAAAAACAGUAGCUAUUGCCUGGAUCAAAAUGAGUUGUUCACUAUAGAUUUUUUUUCACCACUCCUGACUCAGGGUACAAAUAACCACAGUGAAAUUCUAAAGAUGCUGUUCUGAAUUUUGUUUCCCUUCUGGUUAAAAUGCUCCAUUUUGAAACUGCUAAGGAAUUGUAAAUAUACAGCUCUGCCAAAAAAAAAAAAACCAAACAAAAAGGCACCCCAAAAACGCCAAAUGAAACAACAGAUUAAUGGUUAAUUUUUCUUUGCUAUUUCUUUAUCACUCAGGGACACAGCUGCAUAUAUAAGAGCAGAGAUGCCAUGUUAUUUUUGACUAAAUUUGGUCUAGAGGAUCUCCAGAGGUCCCUUCCAAGUCUUAGGAGUCUGUGAUUCUUCCUUUUUGCAAAGCAACCUGCAAGUAAAAAAGGUAGAUACAAUCCACAUUUUAUGUGAUGUGUUGGAUAUUAGGGCAAUGGCCAAGAAGGCAUUCAACUCUAUUUUAUUUGCUCAUGGAACCAAAACAAAGGUAAGGCUGGCUGGGGGAAGUCCUGUUCUUCCAAAGCUUUUUGUGCAAAGCCACUGAUGCCAAGAGGCAACAAAGAAUUUCUUUGGUUAGGGCUUGAUGGCUACUCAUUAGCGGUUAUAAUCCUGGCAACCAGUUUGUAAAUAUGUUUAUGUCCUAUUUUUAGCUUUGAUCAUUGUAAUCUCUUAGCAGCCUUGAGGUCUACUGAGAUAGUCUAAUGAGUGAAGGAUCCAUUCUCAUAGCACAAAGGUGUUAGUACCAUUCAGAUAAGCUUUUCUGUCCCCACUGCAGGCAUAUGACCUGCUCCAUAAGAGAUGACCCAAAGCUUUGCCCUGGGGAAGUGGCGGUGUGGGUAGCUGGGGGCUCUAACAGCUGGGCCCUGCUCACAGCUUGCCUUGCUGGAUGUCUGUUAUUGGAUCUUUUUUUUUCCUCAGUGCAUACUUUAUUUUUCCUGCUGAGAAUGUGGUGAAAUAUGUGUUCUUUUUAUGCUAAGGUGGCAAUGAUAAAUCAAGUGAAAGGUACAUGUAUUUUAUCUGCAGUGUGCAAACAGGUUGAGCCACUACACAGAUUUUAUUUCUAAACAGAUGUUUGGAUGAGACAUCAGCAACAAUUGUUCUUAAAGAAGUGGUAGUUUGGAAGGAUUCUGUUUUGUGAAGUGCCUUUUUUGUUUUCUACUACUGAAUAUUUCAGCAAGUAGGGGAGGAGAAAACAACAGGAUGGGAAUGCUGUGAUGGCAUUCCUUUAGGCUUGUCUUUCCUGUCCUUUAUGUGCUUAUCUGUCUGUAUUGAAAUGAUCUGAUCUGGGAUUCACAUAACUGUGAAUUUCCAUGAACAAAUGAAAAGCCUCAUGCAAAUACAAUUUCCUUAAUAGCUUAACUUACAUCUGCUUUUACUUACCCAGCUUUCUCAUAAUUAGCAGAGAAAUCCCCGCUCAGUGUAUACAUGAAGGCAGGGUGCAGGAUUUAUAUUAGUCUGUUUGGAAACCUGUUCGGAAGUCUGAGUACUUUCACAAAUCAGUAGAGCGAAGUGGUUUUUGUGGAUUUAUUGCUGUGAAUGAGACAAGAAUCAAACCUGCUUAUCAGGAGAAUUAGAUCUGGGAACAGGUUUCUAGGAACUAUGAAGUUGCACAUUUCUAUUUGCAAAAUCUGGUCUAAGCAUGGUUAAAACCCCUCAGUAAGGGUUAAGUUAUCCUCCUAGAUAUAUGUGAACAGCAGUGAACAGUGCAUAUGUAUCCAAAGGCUCAUUUAAUCCCUGGGGAAGUUAUGUCUAUUUUGGAAUUUUUGUUUUGUAAAGAUACUGGAAAAAAAGAAGGAAUUUCCUGCUGUGGAAGACCAGCUUCUCCUUGACUGCUUAUGCUGGCUAUUAAGUUCUGUAGUAAGAGCAGAUACAAAUCUUUAUUGCAUUUCACAAAAAAACGAAGCUUUUUAGUGCAGACAUAAAUGAGUACAUAAUUUGCAGCACUUUGUAAUUCCUAUUUUGUUGGUGUUGCUACGGAAAGCAUUAAUUGCUUUUCCAUUUUUUUUAAUCAGGCCCAAUGAUGGGUGGGAAGAGCACUGCCAUCCCUGGGUACCUGUGUGUUGGGAGCACAGUUAGCUAUCAGAUGUGGGGUGCCGCAGGGUGCUCGGUAAGGUAUUUGCAGUGUGAUAAGAACACACUUGUUCUGGAGGGGAGGCAGCUUCCAGAGGUCCUUCUGCAUGUGCAGGAGACCCUUGGUGUGUGUACAGUAGAGAGACAAAGCCUUCUUACUCAACUAAGGGCUGUGCUGGAGUAAUUGUCAGGACUUAAGCAACCUGGUCUAGUGGGAGGUGUCCCUGCCUAUAGCAGGGGGGUUGGAUCUAGAUGAUCUUUAAGGUCCCUUCCAACCCAAACCAUUCUAUGAUUCUACUUCCCAUGGGGGAUUUGCAUAGAACUGUCUCUCUUACUACUGAGAACCUCUACACGUGCAGGAGUGCAUUACAGACAUCCAGUUCUACCAUGCUGGUUAUAUUUGAGGUGACCAAUGGGGGCACUGCUCUGCAACCCAAGCUUUCUUCUGCUCCUGGAGACCAAGAGCACCAUGCAACUCUUCUGGAGCUUGUUGUGCAUGAGGUGGUGAGGUAAGCUUCUGCUGUGGGCAUGAGUAUUGAGUGAAUUUAAACCAGAUUCUUCCAAGGCUAUCCUUGUAUUCUGACCAAUUCCUUAUCCUUGUAGGUGUACAACAGCAAAAGAAAAUGGUUCUUUGAUUACUAAGCAUCUUAGAUUUGAAGAGCAGAAAGGGUGUUUCCAGCAGCUGUUUAGAGCUUCCUAUUCCAUCUUCUCCUUUUCUGAUAGUGGAAGACAGGCAGUGUGCUGGAAAUGAAAACCAAUGAAAUCACAUUUUGUUGCUCCCUGGUGUCAGUGGUUCUGUUAAAGAGACUUUCAACCAACGGUGGCUGUGAUGGGUGUCGCGUCUCGUAGGAUGAUGAAAAAAAGGCUGGAGAUAACCUCACUAGUGUAUAUUUAAAAUGUGAUAUGUGCCACUUACAUGCUGGAUGUUCUGAAAGGAACAAACGUUAAGCUUCAACACAAAGGGUUCUCAGGGAAGGGGUUUCUUGCGGCUUUUGUUUGUUCCCUGACUGAAAUGUGAAGAAUUCAGACCAUGAUGAUUUUUUUUUCAACUGCUUAAUUCUUUCCCACACCUGAACAAAAAUAUAGGAGAAGUGAUUUUCUUAAAUCUGUCAGUUAAUUAAAAAUCCUGCUAGGGUUUCUGCUAGAGACAGCAAAACCCCUCUGUUCACACGGUCUGGGAAUUGGUACUUUGGACACUGGAGAGAGGUUGGGUUCUGCUUUACUUUUCCUUCUUUAAAUCUUUUUUGCUUGAACUGACAGCAAGUUUCUGUCCUUGUCCUUCAUGUUUGUGAGUCCCGGGAGAACAGCACAUACCAUUCCUGUGCUAUUUUUACUCCUUCCUCCUGGUAAUCUAUUGGUUCUUUCAGCCUAAAUCAGGUCACCUUGAGGAUUAAAUAGCGGUGUUAUGGAAGGCCUUUUCUGGAAUAAAAUCAGUUUUUUCUUUUCUUUUUUUUGUUUGUUUGUUUUUCAGUAUGAUGGGGAAAAAGGGGAUAUUUUUUCCCCUGGAGAAGAUUGAGUAGCUUUUUAUCUCUGGUGCACUUAAGCUGUAAUAUAAAGGUCUGGGGCACUCUAUAUGUUUUUCACACUGAGAGAAUAAUUAAUCUUAAUUGCACUGAUCAUUUUACCAUUCUUUAGAGGGUAAGUGAUUACAAAUGGCUUUACAUCAGGAGGCUGAAUAAGAUGUAUCUUAUCCAAACACCUAUUGUUUGGCAAAAAUUAGCUACCAUUUGUUGUGUGGAAAAUGGAAUUGCCUCAGCUAUGCUGCUGUAGUGAUACAGCUUUUUACAUCAUUAUCUUCAGCCUGCUUGUGUGUAGAAAUGCCCCGUGAAAGCCAUAGAUGAUUUAUGACACCAGCAUGUGUACAUCUCGGGGUUAGAGGUAACCAAAGCACCAGUUUUAAACCUUAAGAGUUUUCACACUCCCAAUACUUACUGAGCACGCUGAGGUUUAUAUACACAGAUAUGUGUAAAUGUUGGAAUAAUGAAAGGCCGGGGUAUCCACAUGAGAACUGAAUGCAAACACUUGGCAAACAGCCAGUGCAAACGUGAGAGGAAAUAAUAAUCUUUUUUCCAAGUAGAUGAGCAGUGUUUGAUCCUCAUCUAUCCUAGACAGUUUAGUGAAGCACUUAUGUGUGCUAGAGUUGUCAAUGAUGUACACACUUAGCCUUUAUCCUUAACUCUAAAUUAGCCUUCCAGCAGUAGCGCUACAUGCUGAGAGUCAAGUGGGGCUUCUGAACCCUGUGUUCACAGUGAUAUCUAUUUUAAUGAGUUGCAUUGUCUGCUUAAUACUUCUGUUUUAGGGCAUGAAGUUAUUAGCAGGAAUGGAGAGCAGCUCCCCAACCUCCCAGCAGAGCAUGUACUUCGGUUCAAAUCAAUGUUUUCUCAGCUCAGAUCUGCCAAAACUACUUGGUAUUUUAUUCUGUCUGGCUGUGGUUUCUACUUGGAUCAUGUUAUUUAGUGUUCAAGUGUCUAAGCUGUGCCCAUGUGUUAUGGUAUACAGGAUGCCGUAUCAAAAUGGAAAGUGCUCAGAAGAGCUGUCCAUGUUGUUGGUAAGCUCUAACUUCUUUUCAAUUUUAGCAGAAAUUCUGAAGCUCAAAAUGAUUUUACAGUCACUGCCCUUUGACUCAGUGCUUGUAUGUAAAUUUAAGGUUGAAAUAAGCAGCCUAUACCUGUGGAUAGUAUUUUCUUUUUUCAGGACUUGGCUUAAAGUGUCCAGCAGAUGGUGCAAUGUGCUUUAUUUAGCUGCAGAACUGCUUACACUUGGAGACUUCCUUUGGAUUGACUUG